rnacentral:rRNA from 1 species
AGUGAACGCUGGCGGUAGGCCUAACACAUGCAAGUCGAACGGCAGCACAGUAAGAGCUUGCUCUUACGGGUGGCGAGUGGCGGACGGGUGAGGAAUACAUCGGAAUCUACUUUUUCGUGGGGGAUAACGUAGGGAAACUUACGCUAAUACCGCAUACGACCUACGGGUGAAAGCAGGGGAUCUUCGGACCUUGCGCGAUUGAAUGAGCCGAUGUCGGAUUAGCUAGUUGGCGGGGUAAAGGCCCACCAAGGCGACGAUCCGUAGCUGGUCUGAGAGGAUGAUAAGCCACACUGGAACUGAGACACGGACCAGACGCCUACGGGAGGCAGCAGUGGGGAAUAUUGGACAAUGGGCGCAAGCCUGAUCCAGCCAGACCGCGUGGGUGAAGAAGGCGUUCGGGUUGUAAAGCCCUUUUGUUGGGAAAGAAAAGCAGCAGGUUAAUACCCCGCUGUUCUGACGGUACCCAAAGAAUAAGCACCGGCUAACUUCGUG